rnacentral:rRNA from 1 species
CCUACGGGAGGCAGCAGUGGGGAAUAUUGCACAAUGGGGGAAACCCUGAUGCAGCGACGCAGCGUGAGCGAGGAAGUAUUUCGGUAUGUAAAGCUCUAUUAGCAGGGACGAAAAAAGACGGUAGCUGACUAAGUAGCCCCGGCUAACUACGUGCCAGCAGCCGAGGGAAUACGUAGGGGGCAAGCGUUAUCCGGAUUUACUGGGUGUAAAGGGAGCGUAGACGGGAAGGCAAACCAGAAGUGAAAGGGCAGGGCGCAAACCUGUACAUGCUGUUGAAACCGUGGGGCUAGAGUGCAGGAGAGGUAAGUGGAAUUCGUAGUGUAGCGGUGAAAUGCGUAGAUAUUAGGAGGAACACCAGUGGCGAAGGCGGCUUACUGGACUGUAACUGACGUUGAGGCUCGAAAGCGUGGGGAGCAAACAGGAUUAGAUACCCGUGUAGUC